AAGGAAUAUUGGUCAAUGGACGCAAGUCUGAACUAGCCAUGCCGCGUGGAGGAUUAAGGCCCUCUGGGUUGUAAACUCCUUUUAUCUGGGAAGAAAUGUACUUUUUCUUGAGUACUUGACGGUACCAGAGGAAUAAGCACCGGCUAACUCCGUGCCAGCAGCCGCGGUAAUACGGAGGGUGCAAGCGCUAUCCGGAUUCACUGGGUUUAAAGGGUGCGUAGGUGGGCAGGUAAGUCAGUGGUGAAAUCUCCGGGCUUAACCCGGAAACUGCCGUUGAUACUAUUUGUCUUGAAUAUUGUGGAGGUAAGCGGAAUAUGUCAUGUAGCGGUGAAAUGCUUAGAUAUGACAUAGAACACCAAUUUCGAAGGCAGCUUACUACACAAUCAUUGACGCUGAGGCACGAAAGCGUGGGGAUCAAACA
rnacentral:rRNA from 1 species